GAUGAACGCUGGCGGCGUGCCUAAUACAUGCAAGUCGAGCGAACAGAUAAGGAGCUUGCUCCUUUGACGUUAGCGGCGGACGGGUGAGUAACACGUGGGUAACCUACCUAUAAGACUGGGAUAACUUCGGGAAACCGGAGCUAAUACCGGAUAACAUUUGGAACCGCAUGGUUCUAAAGUGAAAGAUGGUUUUGCUAUCACUUAUAGAUGGACCCGCGCCGUAUUAGCUAGUUGGUAAGGUAACGGCUUACCAAGGCGACGAUACGUAGCCGACCUGAGAGGGUGAUCGGCCACACUGGAACUGAGACACGGUCCAGACUCCUACGGGAGGCAGCAGUAGGGAAUCUUCCGCGAUGGGCGAAAGCCUGACGGAGCAACGCCGCGUGAGUGAUGAAGGGUUUCGGCUCGUAAAACGCUGUUAUUAGGGAAGAACAAAUGUGUAAGUAACUGUGCACGUCUUGACGGUACCUAAUCAGAAAGCCACGGCUAACUACGUG
rnacentral:rRNA from 1 species